rnacentral:rRNA from 2 species
UACGUUUUGAUUUUUAACUCUAUUUGUUGUAGUAUCUUAAGCUUUUAUAUAUUUUUUACUUUAUUUUUUGUAAAAUGUUUUAAUUUGAUUUUGUUUUUUUAAGAUAUUAAAAAUUUGGUUUUUGAACUGGAUUAGUACCCAGGUAAUCAAAGUUUAUUAAUUCGGGAGUAAAGUUUUGUUUAAACCGAAAAAAUAUUGACUGACCUUAGAUUUUUCUUUGGAAUAUGUGUUUUGCUGGAGAGCCCUCUUUUUUGGUGAAUUUUGUUGGCACAUGUAUGAUUGUUUAGUUUUUAUUUUAUUUUGUAAUGCUUUUUGUGUUGGCAUUUAAAACAGAUAUAUACUUGGCUUAUAAAUUUAUUUUUCAUGUGUUACUAUUAUAAAUUUUUUUUGGAUUAAUUUUUUAUUUUUUUUUUGAAAUUGGAAAAGAAAGUAAUUUUUUCUUAAUGUUUUGAUGAAUUUAAUAAAUAAGGU